UGUUCUGUGGCGGAGUUGGUUAACGCGCCCUGUCUAGCAAACUUGGGGAGACGUGGGUUCAAAUCCCACCAGAACUA
rfam:Aedes albopictus isolate Foshan contig69494, whole genome shotgun sequence.